ACAAAACACAGAAGCUAUCCGGAGACAAUAUAUAUAUAUAUAUAUAUAUAUUAUGACCAUCACAGUGACUAUAGAAUACCAAUAUGGGUGAUGUUCAGGUGGAAGAUUUGAGAGAUUGAAAGAGGAGAUUCUUGCCGUGUACCCGGACGCAGUCGUGAGGAGCACUAUGGGACCAGAAUCUUCAUAUGAAAUUACAGUAGACGGUCAUUUCGUUUUCUCAAAACUCAAACUCGGGGGUUAUCCAUAUAAUGAUGACAUAAUGCAACGUAUACGGAUAGUUCACACUGGUGGUACACCGGAAGUUGUAAAUCGAGCUAAAAGGCCGCACUUUCUGAAGUAGAGUAGAAAAAACAGGAGGAAAAACAAUGUUAAAACCUCGUGUAUUUUACUGUUCCGAUUAGGGGAUCAGAUGAUUAAUUAAUUCAGCAUAUAGUUCAUAUUUGAAGUCUCCGAAGUUCACCAAAGAACUAUAUCAAUCAAUCCAUGAAUCUUUCUGAUGUUUCGAUAAAGUUAUAGCUAGGACAUCUACUCUGUAAUUGUUUACAUGCGGAAGACAUGUUCUUAAAAUAUGACAUCUAAACCUUAAAUCUGAAUCAUAAGAUGAGUUUAGAUUGAUGAAUCCUAAGAAUGUUCUGUCUUCUAAAUAAUAUUAUUAUUACAAUAAAAGUAAUGCAUUGUU